rnacentral:rRNA from 1 species
GACUUAGCUGAGAGGUGGUGCAUGGCCGUCGUCAGUUCGUACUGUGAAGCAUCCUGUUAAGUCAGGCAACGAGCGAGACCCACGUCCACAGUUGCCAGCAUACCCUCCGGGGUGGAUGGGUACACUGUGGAGACCGCCGCUGCUAAAGCGGAGGAAGGAGUGGGCAACGGUAGGUCAGUAUGCCCCGAAUCUCCCGGGCUACACGCGGGCUACAAUGGUUGGUACAAUGGGCAUCUACCCCGAAAGGGGAAGGAAAUCUCUUAAAGCCAAUCGUAGUUCGGAUUGAGGGCUGCAACUCGCCCUCAUGAAGCUGGAAUCCGUAGUAAUCGCGUUUCAACAGAACGCGGUGAAUACGUCCCUGCUCCUU